rnacentral:rRNA from 1 species
GACGAACGCUGGCGGCGUGCUUAACACAUGCAAGUCGAACGGAAAGGCCCUGCUUUUGUGGGGUGCUCGAGUGGCGAACGGGUGAGUAACACGUGAGUAACCUGCCCUUGACUUUGGGAUAACUUCUGGAAACUGGGGCUAAUACCCGAUAUGAUCUCUUGCUGCAUGGUGUGGGUUGGAAAGUUUCGGCGGUUGGGGAUGGACUCGCGGCUUAUCAGCUUGUUGGUGUGGUAGUGGCUUACCAAGGCUUUGACGGGUAGCCGGCCUGAGAGGGUGACCGGGCACAUUGGGACUGAGAGACGGACCAGAAGGGUACGGGAGGCAGCAGUGGGGAAUAUUGCACAAUAGGCGGAAGCGUGAGGCAGAAACGCCGCGUGCGGGAUGACGGCCUACGGGUUGUAAACCGCUUUCGCCUGUGACGAAGAGUGAGUGACGGUAAUGGGUAAAGAAGCAACGGCUAACUACGUG